rnacentral:rRNA from 1 species
AUAUAUAUAUAUAAGUCAAACCAAAAAUACUUAUAAAGCAAUUAUUAUAAUAAAUUUAAAAAGGGUGCUUACCUUUUGCAUAAUGGGUUAACUACAAGACAUAUAAACCUUAAAUCACGAAGUAGUUUGAGUUAAAUAUAUUUUAAUAUUAGUUUAGUACUCAUAUGUGGUAUAAUAUGUAGUUAAAAAUAUAUUUAGGGGUGAAAGGCCAACAAAAACUACGAUAACUUGUUAUUCAAUAAAAGUAUUGAGUACGUAAACAGUUGCUAAGUGUUUAGGCUUAGCAAAUAUAUUAAAAAAUAUAUAAUGUGCUUUUAAGGUUUAAUAAUCAAUAGCUAAUAAUAUAUAAUAACAUUAAAUUAUCUAUUUUAUAAUAGCAUAUUGAAUUACUAAUAAUUUUUAUUUAAGUUGAUAAUGUUAAUAUAAGUAAUAAUUUUAAGAUUUUAAAAUUGAACUCGGCAAAACUUCUCUCGUCUGUUUAUCAAAAACAUAACUAUAUGAUAUUAUAUAUAGCAAUUUCUGCUCAAUGAUAUAUAUUAAAUAGCCGCAGUACUCUGACUGUGCAAAGGUAGCAUAAUCAAUUGGCCUAUAAUUAAGGUCUGGAAUGAAAGAAAGCUUGGGGGGGGGCUGUAAAAAGAGAAAAAUUUAAAAUUGCUUAUCAGGUGAAAAUACCUGACUAUAUAUAAUAGACGAAAAGACCCUGGAAAUUUUUAUAAAUAUAGAUUUUUACUAGUUUUUUUUUGUUGGGGCGACAGAAUAACAAAUAACUUAUUUAUAUAUAAUUUGCCAUUUGUAAAUAAAAUAAAUAAAUUACUCCAGGGAUAACAGCAUAAUAUUUAAAAGUUUGUGACCUCGAUGUUGGACUAGGAAUUUAUAGUUCAGAAGAUUAUUAAAAUUGCUCUGUUCGAGCAUUUAUUCCUACAUGAUCUGAGUUCAGACCGGCGUAAGCCAGGUCAGUUUCUAUCUUUAAAAGUUUUGGAAAUAGUACGAAAGGAAUUUUCUUGAUACAUUUUG